UGAAAAUGGACAUGAUCUAAAUUAAUCAUACAGAAUUUUUUAGUGACGUUCUAUUUCAGUACCCUGCCAUUGUUUCUGGUGGGCUGUCCGUGUGCAUUCGAUCUGAAACAGUUGCUACUUUGCUGUCGAAGAAUUUCGAAUGUUUACAUGAAAAUAGAGGCAAGUCAUGCAUUUUACAACUUCUUAAACUGUAUGAGCCCCUAUUUUUACGCUUAUACCUAAGAUAUCAAAUAAAAGUACAUGAAACAGAGAACAUUUGUAGAAAGUUUUAUCGUGAGGCCACGGCCAGUUUUUAAAAUAUCUUUAUUUCUGUUCCGGUCAUCACUAAAAUUACACAAAAGCCGGGCUUGAAUAUACAACAAAUUUUGAAUCUCAUCAAGCACAAAAAUACUUAACGUGCAACCAAAAUAUGCUCAUGAAAUCGAAAUUAAUAGCUAAAUUUUCAAACUAGACCCUUCUCGAAGCGGUUUUCAUGAAGGAAGUUCACAUUUCGGCCUUUGAUUCUUGGCAAAAAUUUGACCACAACACGUGCGAAACAACUGGGUCUCAAAGACUGAACUAAAACAUUGUGAGCCCCUAUUUUCCUGAC